rnacentral:rRNA from 1 species
AGUGAACGCUGGCGGUAGGCCUAACACAUGCAAGUCGAACGGCAGCACAGUAAGAGCUUGCUCUUACGGGUGGCGAGUGGCGGACGGGUGAGGAAUACAUCGGAAUCUACUUUUUCGUGGGGGAUAACGUAGGGAAACUUACGCUAAUACCGCAUACGACCUACGGGUGAAAGCAGGGGAUCUUCGGACCUUGCGCGCUUGAAGGAGCCGUUGUCGGAUUUGCUAGUUGGAGGGGUAAAGGCACACCAAGCCGACGAUCCGUAGCUGGUCUGAGAGGAUGAUAGGCCACACUGGAUUUCAUACACGGUCCAAAUUCCACUGGGGGGCGGCAGUGGGAAUUUUUGGACAUUGGGCGCAUGCCUGAUCCAGCCAUACCGCGUGGGUGAAGAAGGCUUUCGGGUUGUAAAGCCCUUUUGUUGGGAAGAAAAAGAAGCAGGUUAAUACCCCGCUGUUCGGACGGUACCCAAAGAAUAUGCACCGGCUAACUUCGU